UACGGGGGGAGCAAGCGUUGUUCGGAUUUACUGGGCGUAAAGGGCGCGUAGGCGGCGUGACAAGUCACUUGUGAAAUCUCCGGGCUUAACCCGGAGCGGCCAAGUGAUACUGUCGUGCUAGAGUGCGGAAGGGGCUACUGGAAUUCUCGGUGUAGCGGUGAAAUGCGUAGAUAUCGAGAGGGACACCUGCGGCGAAGGCGGGUAGCUGGGCCGACACUGACGCUGAGGCGCGAAAGCCAGGGGAGCGAACGGG
rnacentral:rRNA from 1 species